rnacentral:rRNA from 1 species
UACGUAGGGGGCAAGCGUUGUCCGGAAUCAUUGGGCGUAAAGCGCGCGUAGGCGGCCCUGUAAGUCCGUUGUGAAAGUCAAAGGCUCAACCUUUGAAAGCCGAUGGAUACUGCAGGGCUCGAGUUCGGAAGAGGCGAGUGGGAUUCCUGGUGUAGCGGUGGAAUGCGCAGAUAUCAGGAGGAACACCAAUAGCGAAGGCAGCUCGCUGGGACGAUACUGACGCUAAGGCGCGAAAGCGUGGGGAGCGAACAGG